CACUCUGCAGUCUGACCAUCUCCAUUUUUUUUACUGUAUUAUGAUACAUUGCUGGUUUUACUCUUUGCAGAUGUAUCUGAGGCUGAAAGAACUAAAUACCUGUGAAAAAUCCUGAAGGAAAUCUGUAGAAGAGCUGCAGUUAAACCCAGGAACUCCUUGUAGGCUCCGUAGAUCACAUGAGGCCACGUCCACAGGAGGAGGAGAUGAGCGCCGCCCUACACCCAGUUCCCAGGAGCAUGUUUGCGUAUGGAUCAUGAAUCUAUCACUUCCAUCAGGUAAAGUAGUAGAGUCUGAUUUUUGUCUAGAAAAGCAGAAGCUUCUACAGAAGUGCAGUAAUAAAGUAGGAACAUCUUAUGUUGUCUUAG